GUGGGGAAUAUUGGACAAUGGGCGAAAGCCUGAUCCAGCCAUGCCGCGUGUGUGAAGAAGGUCUUCGGAUUGUAAAGCACUUUAAGUUGGGAGGAAGGGCAGUAAGUUAAUACCUUGCUGUUUUGACGUUACCGACAGAAUAAGCACCGGCUAACUUCGUGCCAGCAGCCGCGGUAAUACGAAGGGUGCAAGCGUUAAUCGGAAUUACUGGGCGUAAAGCGCGCGUAGGUGGUUUUGUAAGUUGGAGGUGAAAUCCCCGGGCUCAACCUGGGAACUGACUCCAAAACUGCAUGACUAGAGUACGGUAGAGGGUAGUGGAAUUUCCUGUGUAGCGGUGAAAUGCGUAGAUAUAGGAAGGAACACCAGUGGCGAAGGCGACUACCUGGACUGAUACUGACACUGAGGUGCGAAAGCGUGGGGAGCAAACAGGAUUAGAUACCCCUGUAGUCC
rnacentral:rRNA from 1 species